rnacentral:rRNA from 1 species
GACCUCGGAUCAGGUAGGAAUACCCGCUGAACUUAAGCAUAUCAAUAAGCGGAGGAAAAGAAACCAACAGGGAUUGCCCUAGUAACGGCGAGUGAAGCGGCAACAGCUCAAAUUUGAAAUCUGGCCCUCGGGUCCGAGUUGUAAUUUGUAGAGGAUGCUUUUGGCGCGGUGCCUUCCGAGUUCCCUGGAACGGGACGCCUUAGAGGGUGAGAGCCCCGUACGGUUGGACACCAAGCCUCUGUAAAGCUCCUUCGACGAGUCGAGUAGUUUGGGAAUGCUGCUCUAAAUGGGAGGUAAAUUUCUUCUAAAGCUAAAUAUUGGCCAGAGACCGAUAGCGCACAAGUAGAGUGAUCGAAAGAUGAAAAGCACUUUGAAAAGAGGGUUAAAUAGCACGUGAAAUUGUUGAAAGGGAAGCGUUUGCGACCAGACUUUUUCCUAGCGGAUCAUCCGGUGUUCUCACCGGUGCACUUUGCUAGGUAAAGGCCAGCAUCGGUUUCUGUAGGGGGAUAAAAGCUUGGGGAAUGUAGCUCCCUCGGGAGUGUUAUAGCCCCUCGCAUAAUACCCUUACGGGGACCGAGGACCGC